CCUUGUACACACCGCCCGUCACACCAUGGGAGUGGGUUUCACCAGAAGCGGAUAGCCUAACCGCAAGGGGGGCGCCUACCACGGUAAGAUUCAUGACUGGGGUG
rnacentral:rRNA from 1 species